CACGUAGGGGGCAAGCGUUGUCCGGAUUUAUUGGGCGUAAAGAGCUCGUAGGCGGUUCGGUAAGUCGAGUGUGAAACCUCCAGGCUCAACCUGGAGAGGCCGCCUGAUACUGCUGUGACUCGAGUCCGGUAGGGGAGCGUGGAAUUCCUGGUGUAGCGGUGAAAUGCGCAGAUAUCAGGAGGAACACCAGCGGCGAAGGCGGCGCUCUGGGCCGGAACUGACGCUGAGGAGCGAAAGCGUGGGGAGCAAACCGG
rnacentral:rRNA from 1 species